rnacentral:rRNA from 1 species
GACGAACGCUGGCGGCGUGCCUAAUACAUGCAAGUCGAACGCUUUUUCUUUCACCGGAGCUUGCUCCACCGAAAGAAAAGGAGUGGCGAACGGGUGAGUAACACGUGGGUAACCUGCCCUCAAGCGGGGGAUAACACUUGGAAACAGGUGCUAAUACCGCAUAACAAUCAGAAUCACAUGAUUUUGAUUUGAAAGGCGCUUUUGCGUCACUUGAGGAUGGACCCGCGGUGCAUUAGCUAGUUGGUGAGGUAACGGCUCACCAAGGCCACGAUGCAUAGCCGACCUGAGAGGGUGAUCGGCCAC